AUUCGCCCUUAGAGUUUGAUGGUGGCUCAGGACGAACGCUAGCGGGGGGCUUAACACAUGCAAGUCGAGCGAGAAAGCCGUCUUCGGAUGGUGAGUAGAGCGGCGAACGGGUGAGUAACGCGUAGGCAAUCUGCCCAUAGGUGGGGAAUAACACAGCGAAAGUUGUGCUAAUACCGCAUGAUAUUCAAAUUCUGCCUGGAAUUUGAAUCAAAGGCUUCGGCCGCCAAUGGAUGAGCCUGCGUCCCAUUAGCUUGUUGGUAAGGUAACGGCUUACCAAGGCGACGAUGGGUAGCUGGUCUGAGAGGAUGAUCAGCCACACUGGGACUGAGAUACGGCCCAGACUCCUACGGGAGGCAGCAGUGAGGAAUAUUGCACAAUGGACGAAAGUCUGAUGCAGCCACCCCGCGUGCAGGAUGAAGCCCUUGCGGGUGUAAACUGCUUUUAGUAGGGACGAGUGCUACUGUUUUGCAGUAGUUCGACGGUACCUGCAGAAGAAGCUCCGGCUAACUCCGUGCCAGCAGCCGCGGUAAUACGGAGGGGGCAAGCGUUGUCCGGAAUCACUGGGCGUAAAGAGCGUGUAGGCGGGAUAGUAAGUCUGAAGUUAAAUGCUGGGGCUCAACCCCAUGUCUGCUUUGGAAACUACUAUUCUUGAGUGUGAUAGAGGGAAAUGGAAUUCCUGGUGUAGCGGUGGAAUGCGUAGAUAUCAGGAAGAACACCGGUUGCGAAGGCGAUUUCCUGGCUCAUUACUGACGCUGAGACGCGAAAGCGUGGGGUAGCAAACAGGAUUAGAUACCCUGGUAGUCCACGCCCUAAACGAUGAAUACUA
rnacentral:rRNA from 1 species